UAGAGUGAUCGAAAGAUGAAAAGCACUUUGGAAAGAGAGUCAAAAAGUACGUGAAAUUGUUGAAAGGGAAGCGCUUGCAACCAGACCUGCCCGCGGGUGAUCAGCCGUCCUUCGGGGCGGUGCACUCGCCCGCGAUCAGGCCAGCAUCGGUUCGGGCGGCCGGAUAAAGGCCUUGGGAACGUGGCUCCCCUCGGGGAGCGUUAUAGCCCAGGGUGCAAUGCGGCCCGCCCGGACCGAGGACCGCGCUUCGGCUAGGAUGCUGGCGUAAUGGUUGUAAGCGGCCCGUCUUGAAACACGGACCAAGGAGUCGACCAACCGUGCGAGUGUUUGGGCGUCAAACCCACACGCGCAAUGAAAGUGAACGGAGGUGGGAACCCCUCGCGGGGCGCACCAUCGACCGAUCCAGAUGUCUUCGGAUGGAUUUGAGUACGAGCAUGGCUGGUCGGACCCGAAAGAUGGUGAACUAUGCCUGGAUAGGGUGAAGCCAGAGGAAACUCUGGUGGAGGCUCGCAGCGGUUCUGACGUGCAAAUCGAUCGUCAAAUUUGGGCAUAGGGGCGAAAGACUAAUCGAACCAUCUAGUAGCUGGUUCCAGCCGAAGUC
rnacentral:rRNA from 1 species